GGUUUUAUGGGGUAGUGGUUAGCCCAUGAGAUUCUGAUUCUCGUGACCCCGGUUCGAAUCCGGGUAAGACCU
rnacentral:tRNA from 1 species